AUCAGGGUAUUUCCUGAAACCUGUUACCCCUGUUACUUCAUCACAUCUUCCUGAGGUCUAUAUAACAGAACAUCUAAGAUCAAAUUCAGCAGGCGACCACAACACAACUUCUAGUGGAGGAUUCAGGCGAGCUUAGCAAAUGGGAUCACUUGUUUAUCUAAGUGCCUUCCUGAUCAGCUUUCUGCUUUCCAGCCCUUUCUCUGGAGUUAGUGCUGACACCUGUGCCAGAAAGUGGCUACAGUACCAGGGCAACUGCUAUGGGUAUUUUGAGGCCAAGAAGACAUGGGAAGAA